CUUUCCCUCUUUCUUCCUGCCUUACACGUGCAAGUCGAACGGUAACGGGCCUUCGGGUGCCGACGAGUGGCGAACGGGUGAGUAAUACAUCGGAACGUGCCCGAUCGUGGGGGAUAACGAGGCGAAAGCUUUGCUAAUACCGCAUACGAUCUACGGAUGAAAGCAGGGGACCGCAAGGCCUUGCGCGGACGGAGCGGCCGAUGGCAGAUUAGGUAGUUGGUGGGAUAAAAGCUUACCAAGCCGACGAGCUGUAGCUGGUCUGAGAGGAUGAUCAGCCACACUGGGACUGAGACACGGCCCAGACUCCUACGGGAGGCAGCAGUGGGGAAUUUUGGACAAUGGGCGCAAGCCUGAUCCAGCCAUGCCGCGUGCAGGAUGAAGGCCUUCGGGUUGUAAACUGCUUUUGUACGGAACGAAAAGCCUUCUUUUAAUACAGGAGGGUCAUGACGGUACCGUAAGAAUAAGCACCGGCUAACUACGUG
rnacentral:rRNA from 1 species